rnacentral:lncRNA from 1 species
CUUUGAGAAUAUUAGAGAGUUUCUCUAUUUUCUCUACCUUUCCUUUUGUCCGUGAGCCAUAAUUUGACUAGUAUAUAAGCUAGAGAAGUGCAUUAGGGAUGUUGUACAUAGUUUAUAACUCAAGAAUUCAUGCAUAAAUUCCAAUGUAUACGGCAUAAUGGAAAUUAUCAUGCUUCUGUGAUUGAAAAACAGGAAUUACGCGACAAUCAUUCACCCCCGCUUCGUGUCUUGUUCAGCCCUCACUAGAUCGCAUCUCAUCUCCCUGUCCAAACCAAAUCGUGUACCAAACCUCAUCCAUAUCAUUUUGUUCUCUUUGAAACUGUGCAACCCUUGGGGCAGGUACUAUAACAGACUCAUGUUGUGCAUUAAGGAUGUUUUGCAUUGCAUCCUCACUCACUCCAAAAGCAGCAGCAAGCUCAGGUCCCAUCAUGCUCUUCAUAAGUGACGUGGCACCAACCAAAAACUGUGGCUUAUUCUUCUGAGCUGAAGUUGUGAAUCCAAAGAAAUCAAGUGGUUCAUUGCUUGAUGCUAUUUGGCAAAAUGCAAAGUAUCUUGGUAUAAAGAAAACAUCUCCUUGUUUUAUAUGUGUGUCCAUUGCAUUGGUUCCAUUUGGAAACACUAUUUGAAUUCUACCAGAACCUCUUAAGACUAUGCCAUACUCUGUUGCCCUUGGAUUUACAUGGGGUGUC